GGAUUGAAGAACGCAGCGAAAUGCGAUAAGUAGUGUGAAUUGCAGAAUUCAGUGAAUCAUCGAAUCUUUGAACGCACAUUGCGCCCCUUGGUAUCCCGAGGGGCAUGCCUGUUCGAGCGUCAUUUCACCACUCAAGCCUGGCUUGGUGUUGGGCGACGUCCCCUUUGGGGACGCGCCUUGAAACGCUCGGCGGCGUGGCACCGGCUUUAAGCGUAGCAGAAUCUUUCGCUUUGGAAGUCGGGCCCCGUCUGCCGGAAGACCUACUCGCAAGGUUGACCUCGGAUCAGGCAGGGAUACCCGCUGAACUUAAGCAUAUCAAUAAGCGGAGGA
rnacentral:misc_RNA from 1 species